ensembl:lncRNA
AGAUGAUAUGUCCCUAACAUCCACAUCAAUGCCAUCUCAUCCUGUUUCCCUAACAUCCACAUCAAUACCAUCUCAUCCUGUUCCAUCUAGAUGAUAUGUCCCUAACAUCCACAUCAAUGCCAUCUCAUCCUAUGUCCCUAACAUCCACAUCAAUACCAUCUCAUCCUGUUUCCCUAACAUCUACAUCAAUACCAUCUCAUCCUAUGUCCCUAACAUCCACAUCAAUACCAUCUCAUCCUGUUUCCCUAACAUCCACAUCAAUGCCAUCUCAUCCUGUUUCCCUAACAUCCACAUCAAUGCCAUCUCAUCCUGUUCCAUCUAGAUGAUAUGUCCCUAACAUCCACAUCAAUGCCAUGUCAUCCUGUUUCCCUAACAUCCACACCAAUACCAUCUCAUCCUGUUCCAUCUAGAUGUCCCUAACAUCCACAUCAAUACCAUCUCAUCCUGUUUCCCUAACAUCCACAUCAAGGCCAUCUUAUCCUGUUCCCUAACAUCCACAUCAAUGCCAUCUCAUCCUGUUCCAUCUAGAUGAUAUGUCCCUAACAUCCACAUCAAUACCAUCUCAUCCUGUUUCCCUAACAUCCACAUCAAUACCAUCUCAUCCUGUUCCAUCUAGAUGAUAUGUCCCUAACAUCCACAUCAAUACCAUCUCAUCCUGUUCCAUCUAGAUGAUAUGUCCCUAACAUCCACAUCAAUGCCAUCUCAUCCUGUUCCAUCUAGAUGAUAUGUCCCUAACAUCCACAUCAAUACCAUCUCAUCCUGUUCCAUCUAGAUGAUAUGUCCCUAACAUCCACAUCAAUGCCAUCUCAUCCUGUUCCAUUUAGAUGAUGUCACUUUGAUGGCAACAUGAUGUCAGCGUGUAACAUUACCACAUAACAACAGGGUG